rnacentral:tRNA from 1 species
AGAAAAUUAGUUAAAAAAUAAUAUAAGAUUGUCAGUCUUAAAUUGCUAAUUUAAAAUUUAGUAUUUUCUG